GUCUUUUUGAGUUAUUUUUAAAGUCUGACCUGCCCACUGAAUUUUUUUAAAUGGCCGCAGUAUUUUAACUGUGCAAAGGUAGCAUAAUCAUUAGUCUUUUAAUUGAAGGCUGGUAUGAACGGUUGGACGAAGUAUAAGCUGUUUCAUGUAAAUUUACAGUAGAAUUUUAUAUUUUAGUCAAAAAGCUAAAAUGUAAUUAAAAGACGAGAAGACCCUAUAAAUCUUUAUAUUUUAUUUAAUUUAAAUUUUUUUGAUUUUUUUUAUUUUUAUUAUAUUAAAUAUUUUGUUGGGGUGAUAUUAAAAUUUGAUGAACUUUUAAUUGUUUUAAAUCAUUAAUUUAUGAAUUAUUGAUCCAUUAGUAGUGAUUAUAAGAUUAAGUUACUUUAGGGAUAACAGCGUAAUUUUUUUGGAGAGUUCUUAUCGAUAAAAAAGUUUGCGACCUCGAUGUUGGAUUAAGAUAUAGAUUUAGGUGUAGCCGCUUAAAUACUGAGUCUGUUCGACUUUUAAAUUCUU
rnacentral:rRNA from 1 species